UAGUAUACACAAAUGUAUACAUUUUGAAAUAACGAAUUAAAUAUCCUUAUGUAAAUAUCAAUACUGCAGAUUUCUCUUUUUGCAUCUUAAGAAAAGCAUAGAGUGGUAUCAGUCAUGUUUAUCAUGACCAGUUAGUGACUAACUAAAAAAUUAGACUGGACUUUAAACAUGUGGAUGCCGGACCACUGUAUAUAGAAAACAUAGAGAUGGAUGAACAACAUGUUGAUUGCAAGAGAAAAUUUCUGUCAAGAUCUUUCUUCAAGAUAUUGAUACUCGUGGGCGUGUUGUUGUCAAAAUGUAAAAUGAGUUGAGCCAAGAAGAAGAAAAAAACAUCUCCAGGACAAAAGUGACAUCAAUGAAGAUUAAAAGACACAUGUCAGUUUGCUUACAGAGUCCUCACUAGCAACACUACGUGUACCACUUCUAGAGACAGCGUUUUGUUAAACAAACACUUUCCCCACAAUACCAGAGUCUUCCCACUACAAAACAAUGAUUGGAUAAUUCCCAAAACCAGAUAUUGCCAACCGUCAAUUAUAAUACACUGGUGGUUUCUGUUAAAACACGUUUACGCUAAAAUGACGUCACGUUAUUGUGCGAUGACGUCAAUGUUUUUGUUGCGACUAUUAUUUUAUCUACUGUUUAAGAUUAAGUGCAUAUUGGAAUCGAAAUAAAGUAUAGCAAAAUCGUAAUUUACCUAAAUUAAUACACUCAAAACCGGUUAUACGUCGCCAGAAUAAUUCUUUCGGGCUUCGCCCUCGUGAAGUUAUUCCGCGGAGGUAUAACCUCUUUCUGUGUGUUAAUAAUGUUAAAACACGGGUUUUCUAUACAUUAUUUCUUAAUUCAUGACAGCCUUUGUAUAAAAGACCUGCACAGUUUAGUACAAUGGCGCCAGUCUGUAGGUUCCCAGCUGUACAAGAUAUCAUAAUUACGUAAAUAUUUAAGGAAUCUUGAACUAUAAAAGGCAACUGGUCCAUAUAUAAUUCCGGCUCGUCUCAUGAAGGAAUAAUCAAUAAAUGGGAUAUCUCUCUAUGACUAACUUUCUAUAUAUCAGACAUCCUUAAAUUAAGACUAACUCUCAAAGGAUUGAUAUCUGGUCAACGUUGUACCAAUAUUAAAGAAGAGUGGCAGAACAGAUCACGCGUCACCAAACUUUAGUAUCAUGACAAACAGAACAUCCUAACUGACUUUCUUAUUAAAAGGAUAUCACAUAAUCACAGUCUAAAAGUUGGCAACAGGACUGUCUGAAGGCAAGUGGCAAAUGUCGUUUUCUUAGACUUUGAAAAUCUCUACUGAAUCAAGGGUUCUUUCUUGAGAUGGGAAAAUGUUUUUAUGAGACUGGAAACAACAAGCACUGACUUUGGAUUUAAAUCAUCAACUUUGUGGUCCCAGAAAGGACAGUCAUUAUGACCCCACUUUUCCUUUUAGCGUUAAUUAACGAUACGAGACUCUUAAUAGUUCUCUAAUGAAGCUCUAUGCUGACGACUGCCUCAUUUACAAAACGAUCAAAGCAGUCACUGAUGCAGUUAAAUGUCAUUAAAAAGAAGUUAUUUGAAUGGCCAAUGACUUUUCAUGCUCCACAGGAAUACAACACGCUUAUUUAAAUUAUCUUUGAGUAAGGGUUAUCAGAGUGAGAUCCUUAUUAAACAAUCUAAAAGAAAUUCCAGAAUUUAUCUGUAAGCUAUACCAACAAAGAUAGAGAUAUAUAUUAAAUUUCAAAAGGUAGAUAAAAUCAGAACAUUGAACUUUGAAAUUGAUUUCAAAUCCCUUAAAAUAACCAAACAUUGGGUUAUAUACCUUUUUCUGAUACAUUUGUUUCAUAUCUAAAAUAAUUUUAGAAAUACUUAUUCAUAUGAUGGCAGGUAAUUGUUCAGCAAGUACUUUUCAGGCAUCUACUGUUUCGUGUACAGCAAUAAGGUGGUCAUAUCUUAGAUACACGCAGUGUUGCCUUUGAGAUUUAACUAGCUUGUUUACAAAACUAAAAUAAAGUUUUAGAUGUUUGGCUGCGUUCUCUGCUACAGAAAGAAUCUUCUUACAGAUCUUGCUUUAAAUUGAAAGGAGGCUCCGUAGCCGCAUGGUUAAUGUUGCUGACUUCAACUCACGUUUGCCUCACCAGUGUGUGUUCCACACUCCAUCCCAUCAAACAACUGGAAUAGUCUUCAUGUGACUCGGAUUCUGAACGCAAAAAAAAUAUGCAAUUUAAAUUUCUUAUUAAGCUUGCUAUCGGGUUUGUUUAAUAGGUCUUAUUUUCUUCAAUUUCACUUGAACGAGAUUUAAUAACAUACAUAUUAACGCCGAACUAUUAUAUAAAUUUCUGAACAGGUAAAGUAUGUAUGCGUAUUUAGGCUUUUAAAUCUAGAAUGAAUACGAUCGUACAAUAUUUUCUAUAAUCUAACAACUUCAUUCAAUUAUGUUCAACUACUCACACCAAAUCAAUUGAUCACAUUUUCAUUAUUAGUAUUUAUCAAUUAUAAGUAAAUAGGGUGUUUUUAGAAUUCAAAUAUGUUUGCAAUUUCGGAGUAAAAAGGAUUAAUAUCCACAAGGAAAAACCACAUUCCAAUAAUAGAAAUUUGUGUGAUGUGAUUAGUAAUUAAAUCUUGUUCAUAUAUAUGAAUAUGAAUAUUUGUAGGUAACCUAUAACGAGUCUUCGUUUACCAUUUUUAUUUUAUCAAACUGUCUACUUUCUUUCAAUUUUUUUUUUGCGAUAGUGCUGGUAAAACAUAUUGAGGUACCUAAAGCAGUGAGAGAAACAAAAUACAUUAACAGAACAAGUGAUCGAAGUGAUGGAGUUAGGAGACCAAAAGAAACUAAAUAUGACGGGAAGGACUAUGGAAGUGAUUAUAUCAAAACUAAAUAUAUAAUGCACAAGUUGUUUAAUGAAAAUGGGCAAAGACUUUCAGCGAAACAACGCGCAAACCUUGUCAAGGAAAGAUGUCAAACAUUUCUGAAGGAAAACAAUUUACGACUUAAUCCCAAUACAAAAUGUAGAUACGAUCGGGAAUUUAUGAGAAGUCGUAGUUAUAACUUAACAAUUUGCUACAACUGUAAAGUGGCUUCGACGAACACGAAACGCGUGCUUUACGUUCUUGACCACAACAUUACCGGUGAUAUCAACAGUCUCACAGUGCAUACGGUGGGUGAAUACGGAAGAAAAUGCAUGAAUAAUUUCCAGGAAAUUAUGUCUGAGAAACAUCGUAUCAGUGUAAUGUUGGUAAGAGAACCACUAGAAAGGUUACUAUCUGCAUAUAGAGAAAGACGUGCUUAUAGGAAGCACUUUAGAGACCCUUCGUUUUCACUUGAAAAUUAUUUGCAACUUAUCUUAGACGAACAAAUGAAAAACAUAAACAGACACAUGUAUCCGUAUUUUGAAAGGUGUCGGCCGUGUGAAAUGCAGUAUGACUUUAUUGGUCUUCAACACCAUUUUAACGACGAUAUUAAAGCUUUGUUACAGGACAUCGGUGCCAGUGGAAAAGUUGAUAUACCAACAAGAAAUGAAACAGGUUACACUUCUGAAUCGAGUGAUAAGCUGUUAAAACUGUAUUUUAGCAAAGUUCCAAAUGACAUUAUACAUAAAUUGUGGGAGAAAUAUUACAAAGACUAUUAUAUAUUUGGCUUUCCUUAUCCAUUACAUCUGAUGAACUGAAAAAGCUACAAGUGGUCAAAGUUGUUUUUUUUCAAGUUCCAUAUUUUGAAGAAAUAUUCGUAACAGAAGUUGAGAUGCUUUUGUUUAGAUUUCUAUGUAAUAGAUUUAAUUAAGGGGAAUAACUUCAUGUACGUUGGCAAUAUUACGGGAGAUAAACCAGUAUGUAUGAAAAUCAGAACUUAUCAGGUAUUUUGAUGAUGUUACAUUUUUAAAAUGAAUAUAAUUAUGUAUUAGCACAAAAGCAUGUUUAGCUCAUAUUCUUAAAAGCACGAUUAGCUCUGACAAGUUCUUAGAAGCAUUUUAGGACUAGCAAAUUCUUAAAGUUACCUUAUCACUUGAAAGUAUAUUCAGAGAACAAAAUUGUGCACCUACCUUAUUUACCGGUUAAUAAUUUAAAAAUUGUAUUGUAACAAUGUUGUCAAGAGAAAGCAUUCUGUCACCCAUUGAUCUUGUUAUAAAAGGGCGUUAUUUUUCUGCCAACAACAAUUUAGUCAACAACAAUGUUUUAAAAUCAUACUUUAUGAUUAUUUUUGUAAUGUCAGACACAGAGGUCGAGGAUUCGGAUCCCGAUUAGUGCGGAAUAUUUUUCUUAAGUACAGGUAAGAAAUCCAUGAAACAGUCUUAAAGCGUUUAUCAGAAAACCGGUUCGACUUUUUAAAUUAUGGGUAUGGCAAUUUUCUAUCGAGAGGCUUAAUAUCAUUUCGACAUGAAUAGGCGGGGACUUUAAACAUCGAUUAUCAUCUGAAUUGCUUUUUCACACAAGAACUGCUGCAAGAGAGGUUUCAAUUCAUUGACUACCCGCCGUGUUUUGUCCAUUAUUUCUCAUAAAUCUAUAUUUAGCAAAUAACCCACAGCUUUCGAUUUACAGGCUUCUUUAAAAUAUCCAGAAUUUGCCGAUGAUAUUUAAAGAAUGACAAGGUAGUUCUCACGCCACUUUUUUCAACAAAGGAAAGUGGAUUGAAUCCGGCUUGGCAAUGAAAACGACAAAAUGGGUGAGGACAGGUAAUAAGAGCGAGAUUCCCGGCGUGUGCAUGCGUUUUCACUGCAAAGCCGAGCUCAAUCCUCUUCUGUUGUCCGCGAAUGGUUUUGGCGAUGGAUGAGAAUCUCGGAAAACUGCAGAACAUGUCUGAUUACUCUCGUAAAGUGUAUCAAAAUCUAAAAUCGCCGAGUGUGGUAGAUGUAUUUUAGUGGUCUUUAACUAGUAAAUAAACCAACAACUCUGUUGUGCAAUCAGCGAGAUGAUUUUAUUGCGAGAUCUGCAUUCAUUUAGCACAGAUAUAUUCAUCUUAAUGAAACAUGUAUGAAGCAUAUCACAAUAAAAACUAUCAUAGAAGUUCCAAGAAAUACUUUAAAAAAAAAACUGAUAAAGUCUCAGGUUCGAUCGUAUAUUCGUCAAAGGAAUAUUGGCCGCCUGCGUAAAACCUCUUUGAAUUCUUUGUAAUAUCAGAGGAACGGCAUAGAAUCCGUGGCAUGCACGGAGAUCUAACUUUCAGUGGAUUUCCUCAGACUAUUCCUCGGAAUAUCAAACAACGGACCGUGCUCAGACAUGCUUACAAACAUAUUUGUUAUCAUAAAAUUGUCAUAAAACAAAUUUUCACCAGGAACUUACUUGCUAAUAUAAUGUUACAUCAUUAUAUGUGUGUAUAUCUCAUAUAUAUUGUCUUACAUUAUGACAUAUUUCAAUAUGCUGUCUACGUUUACCUGAUACUUUAGAUAUUAUCUUACAUUUUGAUAAAAAUAAUAUAUUUCAAUAUGCUCUGAAUAUAUUCCUAUGCCUUUUCAAGAUUGUCUUACAUUUUCUUAAAAAUAAAUAUAUUAAAUUUCGAAACGCUUUGUACGAAUUAUACUUUCAAAACAUGAUAAAUAUCGCAAAUUGAAUUUGAAUGAAGGUGUUCUUCUCGUUAGAGAAACUCGCUUGAACUGAAUUCUAUAUAACGCCCUUCGUACAAACACCCAUACAUCAGAGCACAUUAUGCUUGAAUGUUUAUCAAACCGUAAAGACCGUUUUAUAAGGGUGUUUUUCUUAUGAUCAUACUUUAAAAAAAAAAUAAUAUUGACAGAAAAGACUUCAGAAUUUUACAUAGAAGAAUUAAAGCCUAAUGUUUUAUCCCAGAUAGAUUUUUCCUUAUCAAGUUUACUAUAUAAUAACACCUUUUAUAUGGCUUUUAUGUAAUAACACCAAUUUAAAGCCGAUAGUGGUAUUUCAUUACUACUUUAAGCCACACCAAACUGAUUGCUUGGUCAAAGGAUUUCCCGCUCCAUUUUUUUUUAGAAUAAAAAAGGUUUCCUUUUGAAAAUCAGCUUCCGCUCGCUUCAAUUUUUGCAGACUGAUUUCAAAAUUUCACAGCGGGCCUUUUUUCACUGCGUAGCGACAAGGAUUCAUAAAAUUUGACACUUUUAAUCAUAAUUGUCCAUAAAUAAAAAUACCAGGAGAACAUGUUACAGCCUCUGUAUUUGUUUCAACAUUUGUACCAGUACGCAAAAUUGAUAGCCGAUAUGACAGUUAGAUUGUGUAAAUAAAUCUUGGAAAGGUCAUUAGGAAGAGUUUACGUUUCUUUCUCUUCUCAAGACAAACAUCAACAUCUUAUUAUUAAAAACAGUGUCAUCAACGAUUCUAUCAUCAGAAAUUUGUUGUGAUUACACAUUUUGCAGUUUAUAUAUAAAAUAAGACUCGUACCAAAUAUAGUUUCUGAAUAUCCUCGAACGAAUUGUCCAUUCUAAAAUGUUGAUCAGCUUGCCCAUCAAAAUCAUAUUGGUUUCGAGUGAAUUUCAAUUUCGGCAAUUUAAUUCUUUUUAUGCACAAGGGAAAAAUUAAGCUCUCUAUGAAUCUAUGAUGUAUAUACCUUACCUUGAGACCAAAAGUGGAUAAAAACAUGUGAUAAAAAUUGAACAAGUCUGUUGUCUAGUCUGUUUGUGCAUUUUAGGACAAAUAUAGUAAAGGUAAUGGAACUACAUACAAGUGUUUGUGUAAUACGAUCCGACAUUUGUAAAAUACAUGCUUUCACGUUUGUAUCGAAUUUUUUUUCUACAAUGUAGAAACUCUGAUUUUUCAAAACUUCAGAAUAUACUUAGAAAGUUCAGCAAAUAAAAACGAUAGGAUCAUGUGCCUGAUUUUUUGCUAGACUGACCUGAAAAAAUUGGACCUCACGCAAGUUUUCAUAAUGGAAGUCUAUGGGAAAAUCGCUACUUUCAUAACAUUUUCACGAAUAGAAAUUUUUCUAGAUUUUAAUGAAACUUCUCAAAGUCUUAAAUAAAUAUAUGG